rnacentral:tRNA from 1 species
GGACCUGUGUCGCAGCGGUUAGCGUAUUGCUCUUAUACUUGCUUGCGUGCCUUGAGCAUGUGUAGCUUGUGUGAUAGGAAAUGCAAAGGUCGUGAGUUCGAUCCUCACCUGGUCCA